rnacentral:lncRNA from 1 species
UGAUGGAUAUUGAAGUUUCUAAUUUUUCUCAAUUUUACUAUGUCAAGUCAGAAAAAAAUUUAAAUAAUGGAUUGAAGUUUUUUUUGGUGAUCAAGAUGUUUUAGACAUGGUUUCAGACAUUCCUCUAGAUGGCAUGAUACAUAUUUAUAUGGAACAUAGAGAUGAAGUUGUGAGUGCUCAGCAGGAAGCUAUGCCAAAGCCAGUGUAGUAGGAGCAGCUACAGCCUUAUUCAGUUGCUGAGCUAUUGCUCAAUUUAAAAUAUGUGCCCAUUCAUUUAUAUGGAGAACCUA